rnacentral:rRNA from 1 species
ACGAUGGAGAGUUUGAUCCUGGCUCAGGAUGAACGCUAGCGGCAGGCCUAAUACAUGCAAGUCGGACGGGCAGCAAUG